CAGUCGCCGCGGUAAUACAGAGGGUGCGAGCGUUAAUCGGAUUUACUGGGCGUAAAGCGUGUGUAGGUUGUUGUUCAAGUCAGUUGUGAAAUCCCUGGGCUCAACCUGGGAACUGCUUCUGAGACUGAACGACUAGAGUACGGUAGAGGGUGGUGGAAUUUCCGGUGUAGCGGUGAAAUGCGUAGAUAUCGGAAGGAACAUCAAUGGCGAAGGCAGCCACCUGGGCCUGUACUGACACUGAGACACGAAAGCGUGGGGAUCAAACAGGAUUAGAUACCCGCGUAGUCCCUGUCUCUUAUAC
rnacentral:rRNA from 1 species